AUCAACACCAUCACGCCGGUGUCGGAGAAGGUCAGGAACGUUGAGUUUGAGAGAUUUUGGGAAUGGAAAUAGCAGAUCUCAGAUUUGGCAAGAUUGUCAUUGUUCUGGCCUCUGUUCUUCUCAUUUACUCCCCCAUAGCGUCACACUCUCGCACACCACACCAUCCACCCCAGCUUCUUACCAAAAUUAUUUCACGGCAUCAGUGGUCGAUGGAAAGGGUAAGUCUAGUUACUGCGGCUCUGACAAAUAUCGUCGUCUAAAAUCGUAAACGUCGCUCGCUAGGUAAGUUCUUACUCAAUGUGGGUUUCGAUUGGCUAAUUGUUGGGUUUAGUAGUAAUUUGUGAGAGUGGGUUUCGAUUUGUGAGAACCCGACUUCUAGAAAUUGCAUAAGGUAUACAGAUUUUCUGUGGUUGUUAAUCCUUUCUGGUUAUCGAUCUAGGUUUUUGUUUGAAUUUUGUUUCUAUAUAUCUGAUUUGCCCGCUUUGCAUGCGUUUGUUAGUGCUAAUUUCUCUGGGUAUUCGGAUUGUGAUUGUUGGUGUUGAUUUUGCAGAGAGUUAAAGUUGGUUCUUUGGUUCUUUGGUUGGUGAGGGGGGUCAGAAGCGGAGAAGAAGAAUUGAAGGAACGAAUUUGGAUUGUCAAAUCUUGAUUUGCUUCUCUUGGGUUUGUUGGUUGUCGAUCGGAGGUUCCGUGAACGUAUAUUCUAGGGUUAGGAUUUUGGUUGAAAGAAAAAACAGGGAAGAAAUGGGCCAAUAGUUGCUCAUCUACAACUUUGUGGCUCCAGAUUGAGGGUUCAGAUAUUCUAAAGACAUCUAGCUUGCUCCCUUGAGGAACUGAAAAUCAAUCAUGAGCUCCUCAGCUGUUGCAAUGACGAUGAUAUGCAAUGGGCUUCUGACAAUGCACAGUUCACAAGAAAUAAUGCAUCAGAUAUUGAACUUGCAAGCAGAAGACUAUGGAAGUCGAAAAGCAGGUGACAAGGCAAUAAAGGGAAUUGCUCCAAUUGAGACCUCCUGACCACCGAGAAUGAGCAGAUUCAAGCCAUCCCCAACUACUGCAACGAUUUUAGAAAUAUUCAAAAUUGCUCUCUUCAACGGGUAUGACAAACAUGCCAUGGAGGCUGUUGCAGCUGAGGCUUGGAAAUAUAUGUGCUUUAAAUGUAAUUAUCUGCAUUCUUUUUCUGCUCAACCCUAUUUGGUUUUUGCCAUUAAUGACGUUAUCUGCGUGUAAACGUUAUCCUUGGGUUUACAAUA